rnacentral:rRNA from 1 species
GGUUCAUUCAAAUUUCUUCCCUAUCAACUUUCGAUGUUUGGGUAUUGGCCAAACAUGGUUGCAACGGGUAACGGAGGGUUAGGGCUCGACCCCGGAGAAGGAGCCUGAGAAACGGCUACUACAUCCAAGGAAGGCAGCAGGCGCGCAAAUUACCCAAUCCCGACCGGGGAGGUAGUGACAAUAAAUACUGAUACAGGGCUCUUUUGGGUCUUGUAAUUGGAAUGAGUACAAUUUAAAUCCCUUAACGAGGAACAAUUGGAGGGCAAGUCUGGUGCCAGCAGCCGCGGUAAUUCCAGCUCCAAUAGCGUAUAUUAAAGUUGUUGCAGUUAAAAAGCUCGUAGUUG